rnacentral:rRNA from 1 species
CGUGGGUAACCUGCCUUAUAGUGGGGGAUAGCCCUUCGAAAGGAAGAUUAAUACCGCAUAAGAUUGUAGUAUCGCAUGAUAUAGCAAUUAAAGGAGCAAUUCGCUAUAAGAUGGACCCGCGUCGCAUUAGCUAGUUGGUGAGGUAAUGGCUCACCAAGGCGACGAUGCGUAGCCGACCUGAGAGGGUGAUCGGCCACAUUGGGACUGAGACACGGCCCAGACUCCUACGGGAGGCAGCAUG